GUAACUAACUAAUUAAAAUUAACGAUACAUGCAAACAGACGUAAUAACUUAGCUACCGUACUUAAACUAACACGUGUACUAAAAUAAAUGACUAAAAUAAUUAAACUAAAGGAACUCGGCAAACACUUAUCUCUGUUAGCAGAAAAAUUUCAAUUUACAAUACUUAAAUUAAAUGCAAAGUAGAAACAACGACUGUUUAGUAAAAACCUAAGGCUUUGCUUAGUACAUAAUACUGUAUAAAGCCUGACGCUUGCCCGGUACUUCACACAAAAGAUUCUUACGCAAAUGCUUUGUAUAACGUGUUAAGUUAACGGCAGUCUUAACAAUAAGGAUUAUAAUGUAGCGAAAUUCCUUGUCAUUUAAUUGAUGACCCGCAUGAAAGCGUAACGAUUGUUUAACUGUCUCUAGUUUAAUUUUAGCGAACUUAUAAAUGUUGUGCAAAUACAAUAUACUUACAAUGGGACGAAAAGACCCUAUGAUUCUUUACUAAAUUAUCUUAAAGAAAGAACUAUAUUAUUGGUUAGAAUAGAUGGAAAUAUAAGUUUAAGAAUGUUAAAUAAUUAUUUAAUUUGAGAUACCAUCCUUUGUAUAUGGUUUAACUAAUUUAACAAAUAAUAUCGUUGAGAUAACGUUAGUUUUCUUGGGGCGAGAACCUCCUAUAACAAAACGGAGGCGUAUUUAAGGUAAACACAAGACACGCAUAAAAAGCUAAAGUUUGCUUAACUAGUAAGAUUUAUCAAUCAAACAGAAACAAAAGUUGAUUUUAGCGAUCUAAUAAAUGAUUGAAGAAAUUUAUUACAUAACAAAAUUAGAAACUCUAGGGAUAACAGCCUAAUAACAGUUAAAAGUUCAAAUUAAAAUUGUUGUUUAGGACCUCGAUGUCGACUUGUCACGUCCUGGGCUUGAAAAAGAACCCAAGGGUUUGGCUGUUCGCCAAAUAAUGUGGUACAUGAGUUGGGUUUAAAACGUUGCGAAACAGUUUGGUCACUAUCUAUUGUGAGAAUAAUGAAAAAAAAAGAACUUUUAUUUUUGUACGAGAGGACUAAAUAAAUUUUAUCUCUGGUAUUGC
rnacentral:rRNA from 1 species